rnacentral:rRNA from 1 species
GAUGAACGCUGGCUACAGGCUUAACACAUGCAAGUCGAGGGGAAACGACGGGGAAGCUUGCUUCCUUGGGCGUCGACCGGCGCACGGGUGAGUAACGCGUAUCCAACCUGCCUCUGACUGAGGGAUAACCCGUCGAAAGUCGGCCUAAUACCUCAUGGCAUCGUCUGCGGGCAUCCAACGACGAUUAAAGAUUUCAUCGGUCAGGGAUGGGGAUGCGUCUGAUUAGCUUGUUGGCGGGGUAACGGCCCACCAAGGCUACGAUCAGUAGGGGUUCUGAGAGGAAGGUCCCCCACAUUGGAACUGAGACACGGUCCAAACUCCUACGGGAGGCAGCAGUGAGGAAUAUUGGUCAAUGGGCGAGAGCCUGAACCAGCCAAGUAGCGUGCAGGAAGACGGCCCUAUGGGUUGUAAACUGCUUUUAUGCGGGGAUAAAGUGAG